AACUUUAGCUGUAAAGAAGACUGCAGUUAUGUAGCACUUUGUAUCCAGGGAUCUCAAAGAACUUUACGCAUCAUUUAUUGUGAACCUUGUUUUGCAAAGAUUUCAGUUACUUGAGGCUUGGGAGGCGGAUAGGGGAUAAAUGUCUGAGUUAUAUAUAUAUUUACGCAAGUAAUCGAGUUUGAGGGGAGAGACACAAAACCUCUGGUUUAGCGGUUUCCUCUUGUUUGUGAAGCACCUUCUAGCAGUUAUCUUAGAGAUGUAAGUUCAUUUACUUGUCCAGCACUAAAAGGCCAAAGGGGCUUGUUUUCUCACCCAAAAGACCUUCCUGAGGCAGCUGUUCGGAUACAUGCAGAGCACAGCGCCCUGCUCAGAAAGGAAGGUUCAGAGAACAAAUUGCCGUUUAAAACUAUUGGGACAAACCUACCUCUUCUAAAGCUUAAAAUGGUCUCCAGCGUACCAGGAUUUGUGAAGGCCUGAAGUUCGUAGAAUGAAAUCUAUGUGGAGAUGAUUUAAAAGAACGGUUUCACUGGUUUGCAUUUCUUUCUUUUCUUUUUAAUUAAAAAAAAAAAAAACAACCCUGGUUUCCUUAGGGAUUCAGGGUGGUGUUAUGCAAAAUCGGAAAGGUACACUUGGAGGAGCUAGCAAGUUUAGCAUAUCAAAGCUAUUAGACCAAUUUGUGCGGUUAAAACUGCCAUUCUCAUUUCUCAACAGCUGUCUCCUCUCUGUCCCUUUUUAGAGACCAACACAUAUAAACCAAGUCUACACAAGAAACAAAGGUAAUGGAAAUCUGCUAGUAUCAGGUUUAAAUAGAUCAAAAUAGAGUAGAAAACCCCAAAAGGGUCUAAGUUAUGUAGUUGGGUAAAGGUGUUGAUCUAUUUAGCCAGUGUUAGCUAAAGGUCGCUUGAUGCUGUGUAGACAUAUAUAACUAAAGAGCAAUGAAUGGUGUGGGGAAGGUGCUUAAGAUUCAGUUAGAAGAAACUGUAAAAGCAAGUAAAUUCAGAAAAGGAGGGAAUUACCACAUGCCCUUCGAUGCAGAGAACCAAGAAAUGCAGGGAGAAAGUCAGCAAGGCACAGUUUUUCUAAGAAACACAUAUGUGUCCCCAUUUAGUGGUAAAUUUCUUGGGCUAUAUUCCUGGCUGGUUCUGGCUUUUAAAGCAGAUUUUAUUUGAGUAUAUUUUAAAGGAAAGGAGAAAUUGAAGGAUG
rnacentral:antisense_RNA from 1 species